rnacentral:miRNA from 1 species
CUUCCGCUGGACGAGGUACAUGUACCUCGUCCAUUGGAAGGAACACCUUCUGCUUGGACGAGGUACAUGUACCUUGUCCAUUGGAAGGAAAGCCUUCCGCUGGACAAGGUACAUGUACCUCAUCCAGCGGAAGGGUUUCCUUCCAAUGGACAAGGUACAUGUACCUCGUCCAGCGGAAG